GUGCCCUUAGCUCAGUUGGAUAGAGCAACGGCCUUCUAAGCCGUGGGUCGCAGGUUCGAAUCCUGCAGGGCGCGCCA
rnacentral:tRNA from 1 species